GGAUGUGAGGGCGAUCUGCCUGCGACAUCUGUCACCCCACUGAUUGCCAGGUUUGAUUUGGCUGAUCUGGCUGGCUAGGUGGGUGCCCCCUUCCUCCUUCACAGCUCCAUGUGCGUCCCUCCUGAAGCUGCACGCUUGGUUGAAGAGGAUUUACCUUCCCCCACAGAGGAGGACCAUUCUUCGGUCAAGGGUAUACAAGUAGCUGUGCUCCCCUGCUAGAACCUCCAAACAAGCUCUCAAAGAGUUUGAGAUCAACAGCUUGGAAGUACUUUUAUUAUCAGUGACAAAGGAAAGCAACCUCUU
ensembl:misc_RNA 7SK 7SK RNA